rnacentral:tRNA from 1 species
UCUAAAAUGGCAGAAAAGUGCAAUGGAUUUAAGCUCCAUACAUGAAAGACCUAUCUUUCUUUUAGAA